GUCUACCGCCGUACCACCCUGAAGGCACCUGAUCUCGUCUGAUCUCGUAACCUAAGCAGGGUCAGUCCUCAUUAGUACUUGGAUGGGAGACA
rnacentral:rRNA from 1 species